ensembl:lncRNA
CUCAUAUCUCGGCCAAUCUUUGGUCAAUUGACAUAAAACUUUCUGUGAGUGCUUCUGACCAUUAUGUCCUUGACAUAGUCACAUCAAGUGUCCGUAGCAACUAUGCCCUGCUGGGUUGCUUUGCGCUUGCAGCUAUAUUUACUUCUUUGUUUUUAUUGUUUUUUUUUGCCUUAUCGUGAUAUUUGGAGAGUCUUGUUGUUGUGCCAUUUUCAGAAUCCUCUCUUUUGUUAUAAAUUGUUCUUAUUAAAUAUAUUGUAUGACCUUUUGUGCCGUAUGAAAAGAUGCUAUUUAUACCAUUCAUGUGUAUAUGUGACCCUUACAACUAUACUUUCUUCCCCAAAUAAACAUGCUCUAAAGCUCUACUGACCUCUGACAGGAAAUUAUUGUUAUUGUUUUUCAUUUUGCAAGUAUUUUUAGAAGUAAAUAUGUAUUCAUUAGUAAGUUUGCAAGUAUUUAUUUCUAGUUCUUGGUGUUCUGAUGAACCCUCCACAUGCUUGUGUUUCCAUGUGCUGUCAUUAGUCAGGCACAGGUAAAGAGCUGUUCCACCGCUGAGUGUCUCUGAGUCAUUAGUCAGGCACAGGUAAAGAGCUGUUCUAUCCCUGAGUGUCAGUCAUUAGUCAGGCACAGGUAAAGAGCUGUUCUACCCCUGAGUGUCUCUGAGUAGCUCUGCCA